CAGUCGCCGCGGUAAUACGAGGGGGGCAAGCGUUGUUCGGAAUUAUUGGGCGUAAAGGGUGCGUGGGCGGUUCAGCAAGUCUCGUGUGAAAUCUUCGGGCUCAACCCGAAGUCUGCACGGGAAACUGUCGGGCUUGAGAAUGGGAGAGGUGAGUGGAAUUUCCGGUGUAGCGGUGAAAUGCGUAGAUAUCGGAAGGAACACCUGUGGCGAAAGCGGCUCACUGGACCAUUUCUGACGCUGAUGCACGAAAGCUAGGGGAGCAAACAGGAUUAGAUACCCCUGUAGUCCCUGUCUCUUAUAU
rnacentral:rRNA from 1 species